rnacentral:lncRNA from 1 species
AUACUGCCCAGGUGGCUUUGAGCAAGGAGGAAGAGACUAGCAUUGUUGAACACCUUCCAGGUACCAGUCGUUGUGUAAGAUGCCAUGCAUGCAAGUAAACUCUUUAAACCUCCUGACAACCCUGUAAGGUAGGUGUAAUGAUCUUCCUUUUACAGAUGAAGAAAUUGAAUCUCAGAGAGACUAUAUAGCUGAAUAGGAACAGAUUUGGUUCUUAAUGCUGCUAAUUGCAAAGCCUACUUUACUGUGUUGUCUCUGGAACUCAGUCAUCUUAUCCACCAAAAAGGACAUGAAUUAGGUGGUAGGCAUCCACAUUUUCCCAACAGAGAGUCGCACAAGAUCAAAAUCCAAUGACACGUAAGGGCACUUGGAUGGCUCAAACAUCUGACUCUUGACUUGGGCUCAGGUCAGGAUCUCAUGACUCAUGGGUUGGAGCCCUACAUCGGGCUCUGCAUUGACAGUGCAGAGACUGUUUGGUAUUCUCUCUCUCCCUCUCUCUGCCCCUUCCCCACUUGCUCACACACUCUCUCUAUCUCUCAAAAAUAAAUAAAACUAAGAAAAAUCCAAUGCCACAGAGAUCACAGCCUUUCCUUUUCUCUUUCUUUUUUUUUUUUUUUAGAAACAUUUUCUUUAAUAAAAAGUCCAUGUACUAUAUAGAAAGGUUGCAGGAUUAUUCACUGAGAUAGCAAUGAGUUUAAAUGUGUCUCCCUCCUCCCCUCUCUUCCCACUGCCAAUUUUAAGCAGAGCUUAGGGCUGUGCUCCUUCGACUCACAGGAUAAUUGUGGCCGAAUGAAAAGCAGAAGCCACUUGAAAUAACAGAGAAUUUUCCUCGUUUUUGGGAAAGCCUCACCUCCUUGAUGUCAUUAGGAUAAGCGCAGCAGGGGUAGAGGCAAGAGGAAGCAGUGCCUGUGAAGUCAACAGAGGGAGGUGGAAAGAUUUCAACAGAGAAGGAAAAGAAUGGAGUUCUCUGUGCAGGAUUCUGAGCACGGUGCCAGGGCAGGGCCCCAAAGAAAUGGUAGUUCUGUACAGGGGUCUGGUUGUUUUCUGGCUCCACUGAGGCUGGGUCUCAAGCACAGGCUUCCGAGCCUCCAUGUGGCUUAAAGCACAGGGUACAUGGGCUUCAAGCUUGAGGAUGAGCUGACCACGAUGAACUAGAGAUGAAGCCUUCCUCCACUUUGUCGGCAUCACAUACACUUCCUGGAUUCUUCUGCAGCCUUAAUGACUAAGGCUGAGCUUCUCACCUGUCUGACAGUAUAGGAGCUGAAAGCAGAUUUUAUAUGGAUUUAAAAUAAUAAACAAAUGGGAUAUUUCCUGCCAGCAGAGUUUAUAGACUGAAUCACACCUGCUCUACAGCACUGGUUGUGACUCAGACAUGAGUCAAGUGCGCAUGCAAACUUUAUUCAAACCCAUCUUCCUUUUGUUUCUAAUCCCUCAUAAGGCCUCUUUUUCAUGGUGUAAUUUUAAAGGAAUUAAAUUUGAGCUACUCAAAAUUCUGUAUUAAAUUAUACUCAGCAUCCACCAGAAUUGCUAACUGAUCCAAGUCUAUUUAACAAUAUGACUGCUAGUAGUCACUCAUGAAACAAUCAUGCAGGAAGGCUUUAGGAUGCACUAGAUUGUUAGUUUAUGCUUAUGUCUUUCUAUGCACAUUUCAACAUCUUGGUUGCUUCUGAGGAAGAGACAGAACAACCAGAUCAGGAAGGAACAUGUCACAGGCAUGUGGAUGGUUGUGGUCAAGUUGUUGUUGUUGUUGUUGUUGUUUUUAAAGUUUAUUUAUGUUGAGAGAGAGAGAGAGCAGGGGAGGAGCAGAGAGAGAGGGAUAGAGAGAGAGAGAGAAUCCCAAGCAGGCUCCACACUGUCAGCGCAGAGCCGGACGCGGGGCUCAAACCCAUGAACCGUGAGAUCACGACCUGAGCUGACGUCAAGAGUCAGACGCUUAACUGAAUGAGCCACCCAGGUACCCCCGUUGCGGUCAAGUUCCAAUGUCUAGCUCUCGGGCGGGAGGUAGGAGCACAGGCCUUUCCUUUACCAUACAAACUUCGUAACUUACACAUGAAUGACAAACACUCUUUGGAAUGUAUCAAAUAUACAUUAAAAUAUUUUUAAAAGCUGAAAACCUCUAGCAGGAUCCAGGUUAUAAACCUAACACAUCACCUGUGGCUGUCUUGGACUUUACUGAGAAAAUAAACACAGCGAUUAUAUUCCAGUUCACUAAAUCUACCAGCUGCUUGCGUCUGACCUUCACUUCCUUCCCUCUCUUUUGCCUCAGUGGGAAAAUUGUAGCGUCCCUUUGUAUCUGAAGCCUUUCCCCUCCAGCACACCAAGAUCUCUCCCCGUCUCAGUUUGCAACCAUGCUGUAGCACCUCUCCCCACCUAAAUCAACCACUAACAGCCUCCCGUGACCUCAGGUCCCCCUCAGCUAUUUCUCCUUCCCCUCCCCCGCAAAACUUCUUUCUAAAAACCUGUCCAUCCUCACAGCCUACAUUUUCUUAUCCUCCAGUUCCUUGUCAGCAUACUUGGCUCCAAAUCUCCACUCAAUCUACUCAUGCCAAGAUCAGACAUGUUCUCAUGCUGUCAAACCCACUCACGCCAUGAUAUUUAAAGCAUAAUCUCAGUCCUGGACUGUGCCAAAAGUGCAAAGAAAUACAUAGAUCCUAAAUUGAACAGCAAUGAGAUUUCUGCUAAACUAAAAGCCUUGCACCGCUCUUGUUCGUGAAUGCAUACAAGUUUUCGUGUCUGAACGGUACUUGUGAUUUCAUUUAAGGUGACACUGAUAUUUAUGGCGAUAAAAAAAUUAAUAUUGAACUUAAAAAUGGCAAGAUCAUUGGCUGGCGGCUCCAUAGAUUAAGCGUCCGACUUCAGCUCAUGUCAUAAUCUCGCGGUUCGUGGGUUCGAGCCCCACAUCAAGCUCUGUGCUGACAGCCUGGAGCCUGGAGCCUGCUUCAGAUUCUGUGUCUACCUCUCACUCUGCCCCUCUCCCACUCACGCGCUCUCUCUCUUUCUCUCUCAAAAAUAAAUAAACAUUAAAAAUGUUUAUUAAACAUUAAACAUUAAAAAUGGGUUUUUUUUAAUUUAAAAAAUGGCAAGAUCAUCAUUUAAAACAAUAACAAACAAACAGGACCCCCUGACUCCUUGGCAAACUCACCAAGAGGAGAGAAUUUGUUUUUUGUGUGCAGGCUGCACCCAGAAACACUAGGUGAGUUUGCAUCUGGGCACGUUUUGUGCAUGAAUUAACAUCUUUCUGUUCCAAAAAAUUUGCUCCAAAAUGUAAUAUAUGUCAUUUUAGUUCCAGCUAUUUUCAAGAAUAAUGCUCAGAUCUUUUGAGUUUAAAAUUUUACUUGAUAUAUUUCAAAGAUCGUUUGUUCGACUCUGAGCCUAAUGUUUCUGAUUAGUUGAGUUUUAACUUACUUUCUUCAAGGAACAAGGGAUGGUAUCAAAGGGGAAGAAAGCACACAAUAAAUGGGUGCAGUUAAGUAAGUGCUUCAUAAUUUGAAAAAGGCUAAGAACAGAUCUAAGAAUAAAUGUUUAUAUUUUGAUGGUAAAGAAGCCAGUUCCAAAAAUUAUGCUUAAAUAUUAUAUAAAUGGAUACAACCAUACAAAAAUAUAGAAUGUCAAGAGUAUUCCUCACAUACAUUUUUAAUAGCAAAAUUAGCCACACUUAACAUACUCAUACUAAUGGCUUUUGCCAAAUUGGGGAAGCAAAAUACUAAAAACAAAACACUAAAUAUAAAGGCCUGAUUUCUAAUCUAAAAAUAAGAGGGUCAACCUAUUUAUCUCAAAGGUAACUUCUAACUGAAGCUGUCUACUAUUGUAAAUCAAUAUUUUGGAAUUCAACUAAUCUUUCUUAACUAUUAUUCUGAUAUUUAAUAACGCUUGGUCAGUCUAAAGGAUAAAGAAAUAUUUUAAAGAUCCAUUUAUAGUUAAAGUGUUCUGUCUUUAAUCAUGCAAGACUAUGUUCAUAAAAAAAAAUGUCCCAGGGGUUCCUGGUUGGCUCAGUCAGUGACGCAUGUGACUCCUGAUCUCAGGGUUAUGAGUUCAAGCCCCACAUUGGGUGUAGAGAUUAGUUAAAAAUAAAACCUUUAAGAAAAAAAAUGUUCCAAAUGUUGAGUCACAUUGUAUUUAUUAAGUCAUCCCACAUCUCGUGUGCACCAUAAUAUUUUAGCCAUUCACUCAUUCAUUCAUUCAUUCAUUUAAAUAUCUAUUGAGCAUAUGUGCUAUAUAUCCAGCACUUAAAAGACACUAAUAAAAGGGAAACAGAAUGCAGUUUCUUCCUUUUUGCCUUAUACUCUGGUUGGGAGCAAACUAUGACAUGGUGUUUACCACGUGACCUAUCAGUCUGAGCACUUCUUAAGUGGACUCAUGUUAAGUACUGCAGUAACCCUAAGAGGUUAAUACUAUUGUCAUUCCAUGUUACAGAUAAAGAAGACGAAACACAGAGAGAUUAAGUAAUUUGUCCUACAUCACACGGCAAGUAAGUGAUGGUCCAAGAAAGAAGAACACGGAAAUUUUACAACGCAAAAUGUUAGUGUGUCUUUGUACACUGUUGGGGCAAAUACAAAUGAAAAGAAUGGCAGAAGAUAGUCAUGUGAAGUGUCUUGUCAGGGAUUGGUCUCCCCCCAAUAGCAUCUCAAAAGGAAACAGGGACUGAGGAUUGGUGAGAAGUGAGGCCGGGGGACAGAAAGCCCUUGAAGCUUGCGAGGUACAGCUAGGGAGUCUCGCUUUUGGAAGGGCUGGGAGAGAAGUAUCCAUUGUCCUACUCCAACACCUUUCUAUGUUUUAGAUACCUCUAACAUCCACCUAUCAGAAGAAUAAUUUAAGAACAUAGCCG